UGGGGAAUAUUGGUCAAUGGGGGAAACCCUGAACCAGCAACGCCGCGUGAAGGAAGAAGGCUUUCGGGUUGUAAACUUCUUUGACAGGGGACGAAACAAAUGACUGUACCCUGAAAACAAGCCACGGCUAACUACGUGCCAGCAGCCGCGGUAAUACGUAGGUGGCGAGCGUUAUCCGGAUUUACUGGGUGUAAAGGGCGCGUAGGCGGGCAUGCAAGUCAGAUGUGAAAUCUAUGGGCUUAACCCAUAGCGUGCAUUUGAAACUGUGUGUCUUGAGUGAUGGAGAGGUAAGUGGAAUUCCUAGUGUAGCGGUGGAAUGCGUAGAUAUUAGGAGGAACACCAGUGGCGAAGGCGACUUACUGGACAUCUACUGACGCUGAGGCGCGAAAGCGUGGGGAGCAAACAGG
rnacentral:rRNA from 1 species